UACAGAGGUCCCAAGCGUUGUUCGGAUUCAUUGGGCGUAAAGGGUGCGUAGGCGGCGCGGUAAGUCGGGUGUGAAAUCUCGGAGCUUAACUCCGAGCCUGCUUCCGAUACGGGCAGACUAGAGGUAGGCAGGGGGAGAGCGGAACUCCUGGUGUAGCGGUGGAAUGCGCAGAUAUCAGGAAGAACACCGGUGGCGAAGGCGGCUCUCUGGGCCUUAACCUAACGCUGAGGAGCGAAAGCGUGGGUAGCGAACAGG
rnacentral:rRNA from 1 species